rnacentral:rRNA from 1 species
UACGUAGGGUGCAAGCGUUGUCCGGAAUUAUUGGGCGUAAAGAGCUCGUAGGCGGCUUGUCGCGUCGUCCGUGAAAACCUGCAGCUCAACUGCAGGCUUGCGGUCGAUACGGGCAGGCUAGAGUUCGGUAGGGGAGACUGGAAUUCCUGGUGUAGCGGUGAAAUGCGCAGAUAUCAGGAGGAACACCGGUGGCGAAGGCGGGUCUCUGGGCCGAUACUGACGCUGAGGAGCGAAAGCAUGGGGAGCGAACAGG